AAAACGGGCUCGACGAGACGAAGAAGUGGGCUUUGGAUUCACCUCGAUCGGAGUUGUGGUUAAAAAGAUAUGAAGGUUUGAAGUUCAGGGACUUUUCUGCAAAAAUAUCAUCACAAACAAGUCCCUGAGUGGAUAAGGUAGAAGCGCAAAGUAAUAAAUACGGUUUCCUUUAAAGAAAAUGCAUUCCGGGCUGAAACAGAGACGGAAUACGCUUACAGUUAAAGAAAUCGUACUCGGAUGGAAAUACGCUUUCGCGCGAAGACGUACUAAAGUUGUUUACGUUUCCACUUAAACACGUGGCAGGGGCUUGAGCAGCUGGCGUGCAGGUCCCACGGGUGGGGCCCGUCACUUAUCCAGCUCAGCGUGGCGGGGCCGGGCUCUGGCUCGAUGACGCGUGGGGCCCGCCUUAUCCACUCCCUCCGCCUGGCUCCUUCUUCCUCCUCCCGCGCUAGAGAGAGGCAGAGGCGAGGCCGGCCGCCUCGACGGCGAGUCCCGGCGACUCCGGCCAUCUCCCGCGGAGCUCGGCACACCGGCGUGCUCGGGAGGAGGCGGCACAUCGUAUGGUGUAGUUCACGGCCACCGAGGAGCACUGAGGCGAGGGCAGCUUCGAGGACGGCGGACGGUGGCUUCGAGCGAACCUGUGCACAUGGCCACGGGCACUCCGGCGAGAAAUGGAGGGUUGGGGAAGGGUCUCCGGCGUGUGGGGAAGCUCGUGGAGAGGUCAGGGAGUGGAGGGGUGGCUCGGAUAGCUCGGAUUUAAGCCGGGCUUCGCGGCGGCCAUGGCGGCCAUGGGGGUAGGGGAGAGCUCCAGAGGCUCAUUGGAGAGGCUGGGCCAAACCAGGGGAGGGUUGUGAGGCGGGUG
rnacentral:lncRNA from 1 species